CUGGCAUCUAUUAAAAAAUGUAAUGUUUACUUUUUUUGAAAAAGUACUGUAGAAAGCGAUAACAGAAAUUCUAAAGAAAACCCCUGGUUAUACCCAAAUGUUCCCUUCCCCCUCCAGUCUUGGAACAUAUUACUCAAGUUGUUUUCCUCUUUUUUAUAAUUUUUGUAUGCAUUUUCAGCCUCCUGAUUGGAAAAGAAACUGAAUACUCUCAUGAAAUGAUGAAAAAAAAUGGAGCUUUAAUGUUUCAACUUCAAAGAAUGAGGAAACAAUGGAAAAGGGCAAACUUAACUAGAGUGCUGUACUUUGGUGAGAUC
rnacentral:lncRNA from 1 species